rnacentral:tRNA from 1 species
ACUUCUAUAGUUUAAAUGAACAUAACAUUUUCAAUGCUAAAGAAAAAGAAGAA